UUUUAUCGUGAAUGAAGUUUGACGUUCAAGGCAAUAGACUGUUGGACGAUCGAUCAAGGCAGCAGUCUAAAGUCCGCAACUCGCAUGUAGGGAUGAGAAAAACACUCGAUCGAUCAAAUACUCAUGUCGUCGAUUUGUCGAUCGCUUUGAUUUUUUGUUUCCAGGUUACGUGGAUAUUAGGUAUUUGGGUUACGAACUUACGAUGGAUUGAACACGAUAGUACAAGACCGAAUAAGCUAUCGAUCAAGGGAAAAAAAUGUGACUUUUCAAAUUCGGUUCGGUCCAUUUGGCCCGAAUAAGCCCUUAUUCUGGUAACCCGAACCGAAUAACCCGAAACCUGAAUAAGCUUAAUAUAGAUACCCGAAAACCGAAUUGAAUUGCUUAUUCGGGCCUAAUUCAGUUCGGUUCGGUUCGGGUUUUCGGGCCAAAUUCUCGUCAGACCCACCAAACCCUAAAUCCCUUUAUGGCGUGUUUUUGCUUAUGUCGAUAUAGACAAAAGAUAUUGUGAUCGGGAGAAAAGUGCAACAGCUGUGGUGUCGAUCCAAGGAGGAAGACGAGGACGGAAACGUCAAGCAAGAAGAAGAAUUUGGUUGUGGGAUCGGCUACAACAGGUAAAACUUCUUGGUUCUUUUUUUUCUUUCUUCCUUUCCUUCUAUCUUCCUUCUUCUCGAUUUUUUUCCCUAACCCAAAACCACCUUGGCCAGUGAUUGUAUCUAGCUUCACCAUUCAAUGGUAGCAGGUCAGCGCAGUAACCCUCCCUCCCGCCAUCGUCCCUCCUUUGGCCUGAUCCAGGGGCCGAAGGACUUCACACACAACAUAACAUCCCUGACCUCGCCUUUCUCGCACAAAAAAUCGACAUUUCCAGUGAAGACCUGAUGUCUGUCAUAUCACUUGAUGUGGUAGCAGAGAAGAGGAUCAAAAGGCUGGCUAUGAAGGAUAGGAGAGAAAAGAGUAGUAAAAGGAUGAAAAUUCUUCAAUAUUUCGUCCCUAGGUGUAAUAAGGUUAUAGGAAAAGCACUCGUACUUGAUGAAAUAAUCAAGUACAUUCAAUCACUGCAACAUCAAGUGAAG